rnacentral:rRNA from 1 species
AUUGAACGCUGGCGGCAUGCCUUACACAUGCAAGUCGAACGGCAGCGCGGACUUCGGUCUGGCGGCGAGUGGCGAACGGGUGAGUAAUGCAUCGGAACGUACCUUUCAGUGGGGGAUAACGUAGCGAAAGUUACGCUAAUACCGCAUAUUCUGUGAGCAGGAAAGCAGGGGAUCGCAAGACCUUGCGCUGAUUGAGCGGCCGAUAUCAGAUUAGCUAGUUGGUGAGGUAAAGGCUCACCAAGGCGACGAUCUGUAGCGGGUCUGAGAGGAUGAUCCGCCACACUGGAACUGAGACACGGUCCAGACUCCUACGGGAGGCUG